UACGUAGGGACCAAGCGUUGUUCGGAUUUACUGGGCGUAAAGGGCGCGUAGGCGGCAUGACAAGUCACUUGUGAAAUCUCUGGGCUUAACCCAGAACGCCAAGUGAUACUGUCGCGCUAGAGUGCAGAAGGGCAAUCGGAAUUCUCGGUGUAGCAGUGAAAUGCGUAGAGAUGUGGAGGAACACCGAUGGCGAAGGCAGCCCCCCUGGGUCAACACUGACGCUCAUGCCACGAAAGCCGUGGGGGAGCAAACAGG
rnacentral:rRNA from 1 species